rnacentral:rRNA from 1 species
ACUAUAACGGUCCUAAGGUAGCGAAAUUCCUUGUCGGGUAAGUUCCGACCCGCAUGAAAGGCGUAAUGAUUUGGGCGCUGUCUCAACGAGGGGCCCGGUGAAAUUGAAAUACCUGUGAAGAUGCAGGUUACCCGCGACUGGACAGAAAGACCCCAUGGAGCUUUACUGCAGCUUGAGAUUGAAUCCCGGUGGCAGACGCACAGGAUAGGUGGGAGGCUUUGAGAUAGUGACUUUGGUUGCUAUGGAGCCGACGUUGGGAUACCACCCUUCUGUUGCUGGGAUUCUAACGCGAAGAUUAACAACCUUGCGGACCAUCUCAGGUAGGCGGUUUGACUGGGGCGGUCGCCUCCGAAAGAGUAACGGAGGCGCCCAAAGGUUCCCUCAGGCCGGACAGAAACCGGCCGAAGAGUGCAAAGGCAGAAGGGAGCUUGACUGCGAGACAGACAAGUCGAGCAGAGACGAAAGUCGGGCUUAGUGAUCCGGUGGUACUGCGUGGAAAGGCCAUCGCUCAACGGAUAAAAGCUACCCUGGGGAUAACAGGCUAAUCUCUCCCAAGAGUUCAUAUCGACGGGGAGGUUUGGCACCUCGAUGUCGGCUCAUCACAUCCUGGAGCUGGAGUAGGUUCCAAGGGUUGGGCUGUUCGCCCAUUAAAGUGGUACGCGAGCUGGGUUCAAAACGUCGUGAGACAGUUUGGUUCAUAUCCAUCGCGGGCGCAAGAAGUUUGAGGGAGGCUGCUCCUAGUACGAGAGGACCGGAGUGGACGGAUCAACGGUGUACCAGUUGUCACGCCAGUGGCACGGCUGGAAAGCCGCAUCCGGAAAGGAUAAACGCUGAAAGCAUCUAAGCGUGAAGCCCGUCCCAAGAUGAGACUUCUCAUCAGCAAUGAGUAAGACCCCUUAAAGACGAUGAGGUUGAUAGGCUGUGAGUGGAAGAGCCGCGAGGCUUGGAGCGACGCAGUACUAAUAGGUCGAGGUCUUAACUUA